rnacentral:rRNA from 4 species
GAUUCGUCACACUAUCAUUAACUGAAUCCAUAGGUUAAUGAGGCGAACCGGGGGAACUGAAACAUCUAAGUACCCCGAGGAAAAGAAAUCAACCGAGAUUCCCCCAGUAGCGGCGAGCGAACGGGGAGGAGCCCAGAGCCUGAAUCAGCAUGUGUGUUAGUGGAAGCGUCUGGAAAGGCGCGCGAUACAGGGUGACAGCCCCGUACACAAAAGCGCAUGUGCUGUGAGCUCGAUGAGUAGGGCGGGACACGUGGUAUCCUGUCUGAAUAUGGGGGGACCAUCCUCCAAGGCUAAAUACUCCUGACUGACCGAUAGUGAACCAGUACCGUGAGGGAAAGGCGAAAAGAACCCCGGCGAGGGGAGUGAAAAAGAACCUGAAACCGUGUACGUACAAGCAGUGGGAGCACCCUUCGGGGUGUGACUGCGUACCUUUUGUAUAAUGGGUCAGCGACUUAUAUUCUGUAGCAAGGUUAACCGUAUAGGGGAGC